CACGCAACGAAUUUUAGAAAAUUUUUGGGAAAGUGAUUCUAGCAGCUUCAAUGAAUCUGCGGAUUCAACAACUAACAAGGUUUAUGAGCCAAUUAAUUUCAGUAUUAACAAGACCACUUCAAAUGAAGUCGAUGAAGCUGAUGUGUCUCUGUCUGAUCAAACUGCUCACGAGGACGCUAAUGAUUCGACAACUGAAGAGGUUCUUGAGUCAAUUAAUGAGAUCGUUUCAAAUGUAGUCCAGCAAACUGGAUCAAUUAUCGAUGAAGCCGACGUAUCGCUUUCUGAUCAAACUACGCUAAUUGCUGACGCUCAAACUUCCAAGAAUGAUUCGACAACUGAAGAGGUAAAGAAAAUCC